rnacentral:rRNA from 1 species
AGUGAACGCUGGCGGUAGGCCUAACACAUGCAAGUCGAACGGCAGCACAGUAAGAGCUUGCUCUUACGGGUGGCGAGUGGCGGACGGGUGAGGAAUACAUCGGAAUCUACUUUUUCGUGGGGGAUAACGUAGGGAAACUUACGCUAAUACCGCAUACGACCUUCGGGUGAAAGCAGGGGACCUUCGGGCCUUGCGCGAUUGAAUGAGCCGAUGUCGGAUUAGCUAGUUGGCGGGGUAAAGGCCCACCAAGGCGACGAUCCGUAGCCGGUCUGAGAGGAGGAUCAGCCACACUGGAACUGAGACACGCUCCAGACUCCUACGGGAGGCAGCAGUGGGGAAUAUUGGACAAUGGGCGCAAGCCUGAUCCAGCCAUACCGCGUGGGUGAAGAAGGCCUUCGGGUUGUAAAGCCCUUUUGUUGGGAAAGAAAAGCAACGGAUUAAUACCCUGUUGUUCUGACGGUACCCAAAGAAUAAGCACCGGCUAACUUCGUGCCAGCAGCCGCUGUAA